rnacentral:rRNA from 1 species
AUGGGCACUCUAGGGUGACUGCCGGUGACAAACCGGAGGAAGGUGGGGAUGACGUCAAAUCAUCAUGCCCCUUAUGACCUGGGCUACACACGUACUACAAUGGCUGGUACAACGGGAAGCGAAGCCGCGAGGUGGAGCCAAUCCUAAAAAGCCAGUCUCAGUUCGGAUUGCAGGCUGCAACUCGCCUGCAUGAAGUCGGAAUUGCUAGUAAUCGCGGAUCAGCAUGCCGCGGUGAAUACGUUCCCGGGUCUUGUACAC